AUCAUCCUAACACAAACACAUACAUACUCAUGCCCACACACCUACACUUCACGCAUUAAAUAUAUAUAGAAAUCACUGUUUUUCUCUGCAGAGAGCCUUCGCCUGCGCCGCAGACACUUCAAAGGCUUCAAAGCAGGGACGCCUGCAGCGAGGGCUGAAGCUGCGCGCACAAGUGCUGGCUGCAGCUGACACCAGAGGUUUCCGGAUCUUAGGGCAUGGAAGAUUUUUCAUGCGUUUUAAAUUAAUUUAAUUGGAAAAAAAAAUCGAAGGAGAAAUAGCUUCAGAUUCGUUUUUGAAGGGGUUUUUUUUUCUUUUUUCUUUUUUUUUAACUUGAAAACGCCAAUUUGAGAUUAAAUAUGCCUUUAAAUGACUUUUUAAAUGAAAACAUACUUGGUGUUUAAAAAGGGACUGCAGAGGCUUCCUCUUUGCAGCCUUUUCGAGGAGGCAGGACCCUUAGCAGCGAUCACACGGACGAGAGCCGAGCUGCACCCGGGGCCAGGCAGCGCCGGGACGGCGGCAGCGGGAGAUGCCCGGGCGCUGCGGGAUGCACCGGCACCGACGCCGGCUCUCACUUGGCCCUGCUCCCCGGCUCGGAUGCAUCAACUCUGCAGGCCAAAUCUUCAACUGGAGUAAAUCGGCGUCAUGCCAGGAACGCACUGAUUCACGUACUGAGAGCAGCGGCCGAUACCACUGGGCAGUGGCUCCCCAGCAGCCCGGACGGCAGCACUGGCUGUAAUAAAGCUGGAAAACUUCAUAUUUUGGAAUGGUGGCGUUAUCCUUUGCAAAUCCUACCGACCUGCAGGAAUUCCUCCCUUGGGGAAGCAGGGCUGCUGCCAGAAGCACUGCUGCCGAGCCGGCGUGCCGGGACCUCGGGCAGCAGAGCCCCACGCCGGAGCCCCUGUCGUCUAGAAACUGAUUCACCGAAGGCUUGGUGCGGCCGUCUCGUCAAUACGAGAGACGUGCAGAUAGGUUUGGUCUCCUAAAAGCAAAUCCACCUUACGCGUCUCCUCUUGCUCCCUUUGUGUCCUUGGUUAGGUAUCAAUUUGCUCCGAGUUUAUGCUGGCAAUAAAUCAUCACCUAGGCGCUGUCUGACGCUGGCUUAUCGGCUUUGGCUGGAGAACAGCCAGAAAGGCAGGUAUAGCCCAGGCGCUACCGAUUCCCUUGCUUGGUCACCUCCUGCAUUCUCUGUUUUCUUCAAAAAAGAGUAAAUGCACACGUAGCUCAUGCGUCUCACACACCCAACCGGCCGGGCCCUGGGAGAGGCCAAGGAGAAUUCGGCAACCGCCUUCCCGCGGGGGCAGAGCCGGAGGGAGCCUGGGGCCGGAGCCGGGUCGGAGAGUCGAGGCUGCCGCGGCCGAGACGGGUCUUGUGCCUUUCCUCGCAUGCCUGCGGCUCUGACCUGAAUUAAAUGCCAAAGCAAAACUCAGGGCAAAAGCUGAAUCACUCAUUUAAUUUAGCAGUGAAAUCACAGCAAAGCACUACAGUGCUACCUGGCGAAGGAUGCAGUGAUUUCUAAUUAUGGAUUACACAGCUAAUCAGUACCAAUCAACAUUUUAUGAUCUCGACUUAAUAUUUAAUAUAAUGUUAAUUAUAAUUGCUUUUGACAUAAACUGUGUCAAAUACUAGGUAGGAUUUUGCCUCCCAGCGUGGGCCGAGCCGGGGUGCGGGCUGCUGCGGGCAGGGUCUGUGCGGCGCCGGACCGGGGGCUGCCGCGAGCGGGAGCAUCGCGCCCCAAAAUCCUGCCCGGCAGCGCGAACCCGCCGCCCGCUCCCCUUCCUGCUCGAGACGGCCUGGAGUCGUGACGCUAAUUAAGUGGCGAACUGUUGGCCUGGACAGAUGCAGAGCUCUGACCAUCCCCAGUGACCAUUCACUUCAUGAUUUUUUCAGCAUCCUGGAGAGAGAGGUAUCAGGAGGGGUCUUGCUUCCUCCAAAUAUUUUGCAGCAAAGAGUUUAAGCAAAAUACAUCACCUCCAAAAACCCCUUCUGGCUUUGAACUUUUCACUGCCCUUCUGGAUAAAUCAGAAGACACUUCUGCACUUCAGGGUCUCUGAUUAAAAACAGAGAAUAAGGAAAACUGAGCAGGACAUCUUGUAGCUGGCAGUGCUCGGACACAAGGGACAUCAUUGUUUUUAAAAACAGUCUAUUUUUCUUGCAUACUACUUAAUCAAGGCAGUUUGUACUUUAAACUCAUCCUCUUUUAACAUGAAGCUCGUCUGAAAUAGAAAACUGAAGGUCUGCAAGAGUGAAAUCCCGUAACAUGAUUUAAGAUGACAUUUCAGCUUUCCCAGACGUUGGAGGCAUUUAAGCCCUGCUAACACAUUGGUGUCUCCAGCCAUCGCCUCGCUUGGCCAGUUCCAGCAAUUUUGGCCUCCUUACCGACAAACCGACCUACCGCUCACGUCUUUGGAGCACUGGGCUCAUUACAAACAUAACGAAUGCCGGCAAGUGAAAUGCUCCUGUAUCAUGAAUCCCAGCCCGGACUGCGCAAACUGGCUGCAGGGAGACGCGGCGCCGAGCUCUGCCUCUGAAAUACGCUCUCCUCUCUACCAUGUGAUGGUCAGCCUUAAAGCCAAGCACCAGGAGAUGUAUUUGGGGAUCUGUCUUUCAGAAACAGGUGCUCCCUGGGCUGCCAACGAAAGUUGUCAGGGCCUGUGAAAUCAGGCUACUGUAUCUGGAGUUGAAGGGCGAACAGGGGGACUCGUGCCACCUCCCCACUCCCUGCGACCGCGGUGGGGACGGAUGGGCAAUGCCGAGCCGGCACCUGAGGCCAGCUGCUCCAGAUAGCAGUCGUCUCCACGGGUUAUGGGAGAGAGCUAAAUACAGCUAAUAUGCCUUUAAUAUGGGCAGCAGGAAUACGCCGUUAUUGCACCCAGGAGCGCAGAGCCACCAAAAUCAACGGCAAUGUUCUUCAUGCCUAAAGUCAGCCCAGAAGAGGUCCUGCCACAUUCCGGCGUGAGCUCCCAGCCAGCGAAGUCAGUUAUAUUUUGCAACAGCAAAAUUUCUGCUGCUUCAGGGAUUCAGACCUGGAAGGACUUAUACAACGUGGGGUGGGAAGGAUGGUGGAGCCCAAAAUUCAUCCCCUUCCCCUCAGGCAGGUAUUGAGCUGCUGCAAGUGAGUGGGGACAAACCAGCAUCUGCAGGAGCAGUUCCUACCUGGCGGGGCCAAGGGGAGCCCGGGAGGUUUUUCCAUCUAUUAUUAUAGGGGAAACCUGGCAGGACCUGGCCCUGCUCGAACGCUGGUGUGGGACACCGGAGCACUGCUGUCCAAGCGGUGAGCAGCUGCUGCGGAAAAAGGACCCCGACCACAGCCCUGCUGGGAAAGGGGCUCAUGUCAUCUCAAAAUGCAAUCAGCUUGCAAGAAGAAAAACUCAAAUUUUUACUUGAUGUAAAUUUUUGGAGGACUUUUUUGAGGUCCAAGAAAUCACCAGUGUGAACGAAACCAAAGUAUGACUCAAGCAGUUUAAAGAAACUUUCACCAAAAAGGAUCAGAACAGGAGCAUUUCAAAUAGGAAAUGUAAGGCUCUUCUGCACUUCAUAUCCAACCUCUUAGGACCUGUUGUGGUACAACAGCCAGGAUGGCAAGAACCACAUCAGUGUGUAGGCUACAGGCUCAGCCAUCUACAGAAAGAAACCCAGCCUCAGCCGUGGAGCCAGUCCAGGUCCUACAAGAUUAAUUACACUUUCAUCUCAAUACAGUAAGAUCUGAAUGCUUCCAGAUCGUGCGUGCGAAGUUUAAUAAAAAUGCCCUAAGGAGAUGCAGGUUUUCAUGGCUGAAAGACUUGUAUUGAACUUUUUAGGAUAUUUGCACUAAUGUCCUGUCUAAUAAUGCUAUAAAGAUGAGAGAAAAGGCAAGUGUUCAAGAGAUAUAUAAUCUGUAUCUCACAGAACACAUGCACAACUAAAAGCAGAAAUUUUGCCCGCUUCCUGGAUCUGUUAUAAAUGGACACGUUCUGCACAGCCUUGGUGGCACUUUAAAUUCAGCUAUAGCUUUCCGCACCCUUCUGCUGCAUAAAAUCCCUCAUGCCUGUUACAGCCUCCUUGAAGCCUGUGUUUCAAUUCAUUACCAGCAGAGCUGAAUGAACAAGUUGAAGUGAAUAAUUCAUCCAACGAAUUUCACCUCUUUUUCAGUACACAAUUUCCUUUGAUGGAUUCAUUAUUCAUAAUUAUUUGCUGAAUAGCUUUGGUAAAUAAUUCUCUGGCUGUAGAUGGAUGUUGAGAAUUUUGUUGCAAUUGUUUAAUAGUCAAAAUUUAAGCUCUGCCCAGUAAGUGCAGUUGGUUACAUGAGUCAUGUUGGUGUUUUUUCCCUUCUCUUCUCCAAGCAGAUGAGUGACACUGGUUAACUCUGGUUUCUGUUGUGACCAUUUCAUUUACGCAAGUGACACUUUCUAAUUUGGGACCAUCCAAAAUCUUCUUCAUAGGCCCUAGAGACAUGAGCUUUUGGUCUGUAUUUUAAAAAGCAAAGCCCAAGCAAACCCGGAGAGUAUCAUGAGACAGUUAAUCCUGUGUCGGGCGAAUUCAUUAUAUUCUGGAUGCUCGGUAGGAAUAGCAGGGUACGGGGCUGGUCCAGACGCCGGAUUCACAGUGGAGGGCGGCUCCAGUGACACCGCAGCACCCAGGGUGUGGGAAGGACUGUUUUUCGCAGCCAAAGGGACUCUUUUCAGCCCGAUUCUGCGGUGCGGUGACCCGGCCAGGGCCGGAGGACAUGGGUUCCUCACUCAUCCCUGUCACAGAUGUGUUGUGGACUUGGUCUCGCUGAACACCUCCUGCCUCAGUCUUGGGCCUCUGUUGGUCUCCAGCGAGGCCGCGGGUUGCCAACCUGCUCCGACUCCCACGGCGGCUGGGACGGUGCAGCUCCAGCCUCCGGUUCUGCACCUCCCGAAUGGCAACGAAGGCGAGCGCCGACCAAACUCGAGCAGCCUCUUUAAGUCCCUGACGCUGCCUAGACGACAUAGCAAGAAAGUUCCUUUUCUUCCUGGGACGUAUAAGCUACGAGUGGCAGAAUCUGGCCUUACCUGUGUGGGCUUUCGAAAAGCAGAUGUAGCCGGUUCAUCACCUGCCUUUUUACGACAGGGUAGGGAAACGCAGCGGAGAGUUUUACCGUGAUAGCUGCGCUCUUCGACUGGAGUAGGCAGUUCAUCUCAGCAUCUUUAAUGGCCUUACCUAUUUGCUGAAAAUACGCAAUCAGUGCAAAUGGCUAAUGAGCAUCCUAUGCAAACAGCCGAGUGCCUCUUUCCAUACAUCACCCCGCAAAUAACCCUGCUACGAGGAAGGCAUCCUCAUAGCCCAAGCGUAAUCAAUAGGCGGAAGCUGUUUCAAUGGGAAGGUUUCCACUUAUUUAUUUAUUUGUGCGGCGUGAGAAAUGAAGGGGAAUAUUAUAGGAAUAAACAAGAGACUUCUCAGAAAUCUCUAUGCAGGCGGCCACACUCACGCACAGACACGCGCGCAUAGCUAAUGUGAAAUGCCAGAGUCAGAGGAGACCACCAACCUUAAAGCUACAUUUUUGCCACAUUUCCGUCGCGCCGGUGCCGGAGCUAAUGUGCAGUGCACAUGAUAAGAGGCGGCUGUGUAGUAUGCCAUCAGUGCUACCUAAAAGCAAAUGAAACUGGCAUAAAUAAUUGUGCUGUAGAAAGCCUUUCUGUUGCACCUUGCCUAUCACUGACAAUUUACAUAUCUUAGGAAAACCUUUGUCAGCUUCUGUCAUUUCUGCACUAUUAUGUGCCUUUCUGGAUAAUUACCAGUUAAUGUGAAAAAGCAGAUGGAAAAAACCUUGAAAUUUCUGAUAGAGAAUCCUCAAACCUCUCCCCUUAUCUGUGCACAGCAGCUUCCUGAUUUCAAAAGAAGUUUGAAAACCUUUGUUAAAAAUGUCCCUGAUUCCCAGUUUGAAUGAACCAAAUGACAUUCAGCUAAAAUUAUUCAGCUUUUUCCACAAUUAAAUUCCAUUAUCGUGAACUGCCAAAGUAAAAUGGAAGGUCUCUUAACUAAUGUGUCGGUUGUUUGCUUGUAUUUUUCGUGGUGUGUAUUGUAUAAAGCUGUGUGAAGUAGACGGAGGAUAAACAAUAACUGUAAUUUUGCAUCAAUGAGUGGGGCAUUUUUAGACCCUUCAUUAUGGGAAUGCAUUGGUGUUGGUGGCUUUUCUUUUUUCCUUUUUUUUUUCUUUUUUGUUAAUUCCUUUCCCUGAAAAACCCCACUGAGACCGAUUUGAUAUUUCACCAAACUUAAGGAGCAGUGGGUAGUGACAGUUCGGUUUUUAGUCCUCUAAAUGAUUUCUUUAUGCAGCCUCUGCAUAGCAUGAGUGCUUGGAGUUGGGCAACUGCAAACACUUUCCCUCUGCCUUUAACGAAGAGGCAGCAAUAGGAGUACACAGGAGAAUUAAUUUAAUUUAAAAACAUUGUUCACACAGGCAGUCUGUUUUCUUGGUUGGCUUUUUCCCCCUUUCUUCGAGCUGGUUUGAAAUGGAAGUUGCCUGUAGUAGAGAGGGCGCAGCUGAUCUGCCCAUGCGCAGAGUGGAGCAAAGCACCCCUCCCACGGGACAAAAGCUCCUGAACAUGGACAACACAGGGAUUCGCAGGGCCGUUCUUGGUAUGAAAUGUGUUUAUCAGGUUGGUGGUCUCAAGGUGAGUUUUGCAAAGCAUUUCCUUAGUCCAACGCUAUCAGCAACAAGUUCUUCUCUGGGAAAACUGCAGGAUUUCCAUGAUUCACAUGUACCCAACAUUUGUUCUCUUUGCGCCGUGGUCUCUGGCUUUGGUGGGCUCUUGGGGUGAACAAGCGCUUGGGAAGGCGCUGGGCUGAGCCGGUCCCACGCGAUGCUGCAGAAGUCUCUCCCUUAGAGAGCCGGGUGUCCUCGAGAGCUCGGGAACGGCCACAGGGAGAAGCAGAGGACGUGUGCUGGGCUUGGGAGGGGAGAGACCAGCGCGAGGACCUGGUAACCUGGCAGGAGAACAGUGCUGGAGAAGGCAAGAGCAACUGAGAAAGCAAAAAGCAAUAAAGAUACAAGGGUAGACGCUUUUCUGCUGAGGCACCUGGUCUGAUGCACAACAGUAACAUUACACUAGGACCAAGGAACAACAUGUCCGUAGAGCACAGAGAGUUUCUCAUUUGUACCAAUUUCACCAGAGCACACGAGCAUGUGUAUGGCAACUUAGAAAAAGCUUUUUUGCUUUAGAUACUACAAAGAAUGGAGGUAAGGAAGUGUUAGUGAGGAGCAUUAUAACAAGAGAUAAAGCAGUCUGCUAUCGUGAGGGUCUAUCACAGAGCCGUGCAAAGGCGGUACAGUGUAUGACUGUCCCGCUGGUUUCUGUUGGUGGUGUUUCUCUUCCUGAUUGGCAUUUAGAGUCUACAUCCCCACAGAAUGACAUUUCGGCUGCUGAUUAAAAUCAUUGUCUUUUAUGGUGGAGAAAGUUUGUUCUUCAAAGUGAAGAAGAUUAAAAAAAAUGCUGCUGCAAACAGUGAUGAAAAACAGAUGAAUAAAAACAACCAAAAAACGUUUUAAAUCCAUUAUUUUCAAUUAGCUCUUUAAUUUGAUUUGUCAUUUGCACUUGUUGUUUUACGUCUCUUAUUGUCCAGCAUUUUAUUUCACACAUCUAACAGUAUUAAAUCAGACUGUUUUCUAGUCUUUGCUUUCUUUUGAAGCCUCUUGAAAGCCUAAAGCAGACUUAAAAAAACAGAUAUUAAAAGCUAACUUUCAUCUCGAUGCAGGUUAUUUGUAAUCAGACCUUACACAUCAAGGGCUCAUUUCGUAUGUGUUUGGCGUUCUGGAAUUAUUAAAACUGCAAAUCCAUCUUAUUCAAAAUAUUGACCAGGUUUUAGUGUUUUGAAACUUCAGCAUUACACUUGACUUCAUCAGCAGGUACAAGAGAUGUGGUGUUCUUGAUUGCGGACACUUAUAUUUAGUAAUGGUGCAAUAAGUCUACGUGGGCUUUUGUUUACAAGAUACAGUAUUCAUGUUGCAGACUUGUAUUUUUUCACCGGUAAGCUCCGAAUGGCUAGUGGCUUAUGCUGAGCAUUGGGAUAUAAAAUAAUCUAUUACUAAAGGAACAAUAUUGCUUCCGCACUGUGAAUUAACAAACCUUGCUGUGUAUCUUUGGAGAAACGAAUCACGCUCCACAGCUGAGUUACUUUCUCAUCUAAAUUGGAAGUUAACUAUCAGGAUAUAACCAGGAACAGUUUUACAAGUCACUAGGUUAGCAUCUCAACUGGCUUUAAUUCUCAAAGUCUCAGAGGAAAACACAUGGGCAGCCAUGAGUCAUGUUGACAGAGAGCAGAUGCACUUACUCUGUUACCUUUUAGUGCCUAUUUAAACAGGACAAACACAUCUGUAUCAUGUUAUUGACAUGUUUACACAUGUUGAAGUCCAUCACUGAAUCUGGGCCUGCCUCCAAACUCAGCUCCAUUGGCUUCUUUCAUGUUACUCCCACGUUGACACUAAGAUGAGGACAUAAAUCAGGCUUUUUCUCUCAUUCUCCUUUAUGCACUCAGCAAAGUAUUUCAGCCACCCACCAGAAAAGCAUCUUCUUUCAGAUUUACAGUAGCAUCUGGCCAGCUUCCUCUUGACAUCCCUUCUGUAGGCCAUUUGAUCAUCUGCUUCUUCAAAAGAAUGUACAGCUAAUGCCCAUUAUCAUGUAGACCCCUUAAUACCACCGUUGUCUUGUGAAGGAGCCUUAACAGGGCAUGGAGGGGCUCACUUCUAGGUUAAGACAUUGUUAUACUCUCUGAAUAGUUCAAAAGUGCCUUAGUUUAAAAGAGGGUCAGGCCCUUUAUUUUCUUCAGCUCUUCCCUUGCCUUUAAUUUCUGCCAUCUUCUUCUCCCUUUUAUCCUCCUCGCUGUUCUCAGCUGCAUGCUUAUUACCUCCUCGGUAUUUGAAUAUUCUCACUUACUGCGCACAAUAGCAUGACUGGUUUUCAGAGCCGGUGUUUGUUUAUUGAGGUUUUGGCUGAUUAAUGCCUUCUUUGAACCUCCGAGCCUCACAGCAACGCUGAUCCCCGUCUCUCAACCUUUUGUUGUCCCUUAAAGAGCUCUAAAAGUUUGUUUUUUUUACCAACAUUCCCAUUUUUUCAUCCAAAAAUGCGCAACAAAGGACGAAAAAGUUCCAGUUCGCAUUUUCUAUUUCUAUGCCUUUUCAUGGCAUUUGGUGUUAGCCGUAGCACAAAGCAGGCCUGACAGUAAGUGUCACCUCUGGCCUCAAAUAUCCAUGGUGCAUUUUUCCUUGCUGUAAUAUUGCCCAUGUGCCAUCCCGAGUGUCUCGGCUGGCCUGCGAAGCCGGCUCCACUCUUGCUGCCGGGGUUGCUCCAGCUACUCGCAGCCUUCUCCCGCGGCGGCUCGGAUGGGGCCCGAGCGUCAGCACUGAGAAAAGGCAGCUUGUGAAACCCAGCACGUUUCCAUGAAAUGGAGCUUUAACUAUUUUUCCACUUCAGCUAUGCCCUAAAUUCAUACCAUACUAGACAGUGGUCAGAAGUUUGCAUCAUUUGGUCUUCAUGAAAAAUUAUUCAAGCAUUUUUGUAAGUGAGUGGUUAGGAGCAGGAGGGAAGAGAGACCAGGGUUUUCCUAUGAGGUAGAGACCCACCUCAGCUUAUUUGUCUGAACUUGAAGUUUGUCCUGGAUGCUCACGACAAAAGUUGCCAUACCCAUUUCCCACUAUUUCACCCAUCCGGACUGCCUCAGCAGACGUUUUCCACUGCAGGGCUCUACACAGGUGCCUGCUGGCUAAUCCACGCUACGAGGAGUUGGUGGCAGCUCUUGGGUCGGUGAUUUGUGCACAUGCAGCAGCAGUUUGCCUGAGCUCUUUUCUUGGAUGUGUGUGGUUCAACCCUACAGUGGCAUGUGAGUUAUAAGGGGAAAGAGGCAUAUGUAUUUAGGUCUGGAUUUUUCACAAGGGAAGUGUCUCUUUUUAAGUUCAAUUGUCCCUUGAAAACUAUACAUCUGGAGUUUUGCACCUGCAACCAAAAACCUCCGGGGUAUUCUAUAUCUGAAAAAUCAUUUGGCAGACAUCAAAAUGAAAGUGUGUAUUUUGUGGGUUACAGAAAGGAAGAUUUAAAAAAAAAAUUAAUGUAGGAGGGUUAAGCAAAGCUCAGAAUACUCUCUCUGUGGGAGAGGGGAAAGUUUCCUUUUAUAACUGAGAAUUUGCUGAAAUAAAGUUUGUCAUUAUAAUUGGCUCUAUGUUCCUAUCUGAAGAACACAUGAAGAGAUUUACCUUCAAUAAUUAUUGAUAAUAGUGUUUUGACUCUGAGUCAGAAUAGGAGCCUGACCUUUGGGAAGAAGAAGCAGCAAGUCACCAAGCUUAAAUAAUGUCAGUGACAAGCACAGAAAGUGUUGAGUUACUUUUUCCCUUUCAGAAUUAAAAGGCUUAUCAAAAGAGCCUUUAUUCACAUACAGACUAGAGGUCCCUCUGCCACAGUUGUUUUAAAUAUAGUCCUAAUAGUCAUGUAAGAUGGCAUUAAAAUAACAGCUUUAAUGAAGUUGAUUGCCUUCCUCAUUACAAUUUUCUGUUAAAAUCUUCUGCUUCCCAAGUGUGACUCUCUUUGCCUGUCUUCAUCUACAGUUCAAAUCAAAAUAGCCUCAGCCAUUUACAUGCUUCUUCCACUCAGUAAGUUACUAAGUUUAUCUGUACACUUCAGAUAUCAGCAAAUACAUUCUUAAACCUGAACACUGUCAUGAGACUCUCAAGAGGAGUAUGUCAAAAACCCUCACCACAGUCUUCCUUUUGGCUUAGGAAUGCUGUAGGGUUUGGGAAACUCCAAGAGUUCUGCAGUGCUGGGGAUUGACAUAGCAAUUAAAAGAAGAGCCAGGAAGCCAAGAGCACAAACAUCUCACCAUGGCCAUCGAGUCAAGGUCAGGGUCAUCAGGAGAGACCUGAAGGAGACGACAGCAGAAGUGUUGCAGGAGUUCGCGGUUGAGUCCUGCUGCUUUUAAUCAGCAAGGGCCCCAGCUGUGACCCCCAGAGCAGUGGGGUUCACCACCGUCCCCGGCUUACAGUGUUAGUAAGGAUGACCUGGCCAUUUUGAAUGCAUAUCUCAGUGACAAAAACCUCUCAGCCACUAGCCCCUUUCUCGCCUUUUCUCUCUACCCCUUUACACAUUAAAAAAAAAAAAAUUAUCAACUAGCAUCUGUAAGUCAUGGUGGUUUGCAAAGCGGAAGCCCUUCAAGGCUAUCAGUAAUGUCUGGCUAGCUGGAGAUACAGCAUUUUCAAAAUUAUUAUGCCACCCUUUACCAAAUGUAAAACUGAAGCAAAUUUGCAUGCAAACACAAAUGAAGAUUGAAUGCACAGUUUUAUUAGUCUUCAGCAUAAAUUGAUUCUGUUAUUCUUCUCUGGAAACCCUCAGCAGCUUAAAGACGUUCAUGUUGACUGUCUGACCCUAAGAAUUCAUGCUGCGUUCCAGGACAUUAUUACUAUUAUUAAGAUUGAUUUUUAAAGUACUAAGUAAAGUACUAAGUAACGCACAUGGGAAGUGCCAAGAUUAGCAUCUGCAGGAGUUAGUCAGCCUUCUGUAUCAUCAUAUUUUACCAAAAUACCCACAAUGCUCUUUAAACACUUCAAGUUUUUACCACUUUGAUACAUCAAUACCAGAAGGUAGAGUGAGGCAAAACCAUUUAUGUACUGCCCCUGUACAAGCAUGGCAAAUUACUAGCCUUAAAAAUACAAUGACUCUUCCUUAAUAAAUCAGCACUGGGAUUCAUGUUUGUGAGCACUUGCAAAUAAGAAAGUUUUCAGCAGAGUCUGGAAAUUUUCCAGUUUUAAAUGAUGCCACUUAGUGUCUAAUUAUCUGCCAAGAAAGUUUCAGGCAUGUCAUAAACGUAACUGUGCUGCGCUGCACACAUCCAGCUGCGAAGCCCGGUCUGCCAGGCUUGGGGAUGGGGUGGGUGAUCUUGGGAACGUCAGGCACCAAGUUUCACUUUGACACAAGCAUCCAAAAAUUCUACUUCACCGCUGAAGUUAAACUCACUCUGAGUACGUACUUUUCUCCUCUGCCGUUUUUUGUUGAAGGCGGUAGCCCACCCGGAGUGGUGGCCCUGGUGGACAUCCCUCCUGCAACCCUCCGGCACAAAGAAGAAUCCUUUCAAAGGCAAGACAGCCUUAUCGCAAAGGGACCAUGCAGCCUUUGAUCUCCCCUGAGCAGUAACAAAUCAGGCAGUGUUUGCUCUCCUGAAUGCCUCCAUAAAUACUACCUCUCUCCAAAUAGAAAAAGCCUGAAUAGAUGCAAGACUUGGGCCUUGUAAGAAAUGUUUUUCCCCUCUGGGUUGUCAGCCUUAAGGAUGUCUUUGAGCAACUUCAGCUGGCACUCUAAGAUGAAGAAAGUGCAUCAAUUGUGUAUCUAUAUUGUUGAAUUUUCAGUUUGCCAGCAAAUACUCAACUCUGCAGAGCAAAGGCUUUUAAUUCAUGUGGGCAGCUACUUGUACAACCUCUAAGCUGUCCCUAUCCCUCUUUCAUAUUGCUCCUUUUCUGCCCUGUGUCUUGCAUCCCUAGACCUGUUUGGCCCUGACCACUCUGGCUGGAGCAGGAGGAAAGUCCAUCGCCUCUGUCAGCACAGGGCAUUGGGGGGUCAGGAGCUGGUGGGGGACGAGGGGCUGCCUUUGCUUCGGGUGCCACCACCUGGCCUGUGGAAUCAUCCUGAACACGGCUCUCGUAAUGCUGGAGUUACAAAAUGACUGAAAGAAAAGGUGAUGGUCAGAAUCAGUCUCCCCCCUACAAGCAUAUUUAUCCAUGUCCAUCCUAAGAUGACCCACAGGAUAGCUUGCUCCUAGGUGUCCUGUUGCUUUUUCACAUGUCCCUUAAAUUUUCAUCUUGGAAAGCUCCAAAAUAAUGGAGUAAGAAAUCAGAGCAAAAGCUGCAAGGCCGCCUGCUUUUUCCAAUAGCUAUUGUUGAUGUUAUUGUUAAACAUACAGUAAUCAGGGGCUUUGGAUGGGAAGGGAGUGUUUUCUUUCAAAUAAUCUGGAAGGUUAAGGUAUCACUCAUGGUAUAACCCAUCUGCUGUACUGCCAGGCAGAGCGCACAGACAGAAAGCUGGGAAAGUCACGUCAUCAGCGCAGCGGUGCCUGCAGAGAGCCGUGCUGGGCGAGAGCAAGGUCCCAAGGUCCCAGCCACGCUCGGCGAUGGCACUUGCAGCAGGGCAGAAUCUCAAGGAGCCAGCGAGAGCAGAACUGGGUAUUUGACCUGUGAGGACUGGUUUGGCAACUGUACAAGCCAUCGCGCUGCUGCAAAGGAAGCGGAAAUUGUGCAGUGUCACAGUGGGUUCACUGGAGUUAAUUCCAACACAAGCAAAGCAUAGACGUUACCUUCUCCCAAGACAUCUCCAGUCCUUCUGUUUCAUUACAGCUCCAUCUAUAAAAAGGACCCUGAUUAAAAAUGUGGCCUGUUGUUUGAUGAACCAGGAAUCCAUACUUCCUGUAAUUUUCCUUCCUUCAUCCUCUUUCUCUGUGUUUAUAUGUCAUAUUCAGUAAAGUCUCUUUUAUUGAA